rnacentral:rRNA from 1 species
UUCCGGUUGAUCCUGCCGGCGGCCACCGCUAUAGGAAUUCGAUUAAGACAUGCGAGUCGAGAGUCUUCGGGACUCGGCGGACUGCUCAGUAACACGUGGAGAACGUGCCCUUAGGUGGAGGAUAAUCUCGGGAAAUUGAGGAUAAUACUCCAUAGAUCAUGGGAUCUGGAAUGACCCAUGGUUGAAAGUUCCGGCGCUUAAGGAUCGCUCUGCGGCUUAUCAGGUUGUAGUGGGUGUAACGUACCCCCUAGCCAGUGACGAGUAUGGGCCUUGAGAGAGGGAGCCCAGAGUUGGAUUCUGAGACACGAAUCCAGGCCCUACGGGGCGCAGCAGUCGCGAAAACUUCACACUGGGGGCAACCCCGAUGAGGGAAUUCCUAGUGCUAGGACAUUUGUUCUAGCUUUUCUCUAGCGUAGAUAACUAGAGGAAUAAGGGCUGGGUAAGACGGGUGCCAGCCGCCGCGGUAAUACCUGCAGCCCAAGUGGUGGUCGAUUUUAUCGAGUCUAAAGCGUUCGUAGCCGGUUUGAUAAAUCCUUGGGUAAAUCGGGAAGCUUAACUUUCCGACUUCCGAGGAGACUGUCAAACUUGGGACCGGGAGAGGCUAGAGGUACUUCUGGGGUAGGGGUAAAAUCCUGUAAUCCUAGAAGGACCACCGGUGGCGAAGGCGUCUAGCUAGAACGGAUCCGACGGUGAGGGACGAAGCCCUGGGUCGCAAACGGGAUUAGAUACCCCGGUAGUCCAGGGUGUAAACGCUGCCGACUUGGUGUUGGAGGCCCUUCGGGGGCAUUCAGUGCCGGAGAGAAGUUGUUAAGUCGGCCACUUGGGGAGUACGUCCGCAAGGAUGAAACUUAAAGGAAUUGGCGGG